rnacentral:rRNA from 1 species
GGGGAAUAUUGGACAAUGGGCGAAAGCCUGAUCCAGCAAUGCCGCGUGAGUGAUGAAGGCCUUAGGGUUGUAGAGCUCUUUUACCCGGGAAGAUAAUGACGGUACCAGCAGAAGAAGCUCCGGCUAACUCCGUGCCAGCAGCCGCGGUAAUACGGAGGGAGCUAGCGUUGUUCGGAAUUACUGGGCGUAAAGCGCACGUAGGCGGCGAUUCAAGUCAGAGGUGAAAGCCCGGGGCUCAACCCCGGAACUGCCUUUGAAACUAGAUCGCUAGAAUCUUGGAGAGGCGAGUGGAAUUCCGAGUGUAGAGGUGAAAUUCGUAGAUAUUCGGAAGAACACCAGUGGCGAAGGCGACUCGCUGGACAAGUAUUGACGCUGAGGUGCGAAAGCGUGGGGAGCAAA